CAAGGAUCGGUAGUGAGUUCUCUCAGCGCAGGGACACACGCACGGCGGUAUUUUAGGAGCGGAGGCGCGAACUUGAUCCACGUUUACAAGAAUAUCCAAGAAUGCACUUUCGGUUUCCUUACACAAGAUGUUUGGCCAUUCCAAGUCUUGACUUCCUCCUCUGUAAAAUAGGGAAACAAUCUAUCUCCCAGUCAUAUUACCUCAUUAACUCUAAAGCUUCUAUCAGAGGACUGAAGAGAAAAUUAUGCCUCAGAGUCAUCAUCAUGACCAACUACUGCAUUACGCUGGAGCAACCCUGGAGCUAUGAAGAACCACACGGCACUGGUGCUGGUGCUUGAACAUAAUCAAGUCCUGUGGUCGUCUUUUUUCCAGUGCCUUUUCAUUACUGGGACUAAGAAACCAUAAUCAAGUUUGGUAGAAUUAUCUAAAACGUGUAAAUAGGCUCAAAAGAGGGCCUCUCCCCUUAAGCUUCAGGGUAUUAACUUCGUAACUUCUCUUCUUACUACUCAUUUAUUUUCACUUUUAUGGUCUAUUUGGAAUAAUUUAUAUUUUUGGCUGGCUUUGUAACCUUGUGUAAGCGAAGAGUGACCUUUGCUUGAAAAUCUCUGACUUGGUUACAAAAAUAACACCAUUACCAGUGAGUCCUACAGCGGUAUACUUUACAACUUAAAAACAAUUUAUCCCUAGACAUAUUGAAAUAUUUUCAGCUGAAACAUGUCUUAGAUUUGCUUCAAAAUAAUCCAAGGAGCAGAGGGAUCAGAGAGGGUCAGUGAAUGGGAUGAAGAUGAAACAAGAUUUGCCAUGUGUUGUUGAGCACUGCCAAAGUUGGAUGAUGGAUUUGAGCAGGGAGGGCCGAAGGGAUGGGAGGACAGGUGAUUGUACUAUUCUGCUUUUUGUGAUGGGAAUUCCAGAAAUACACUGAAGUUUUAAACAAACAAAAACAAAAAAAUGUCUCAAAUUGAGAGGAACUGGGUGCUGGUUUGAGUUCUAAUUUGCUUCGUGUGCCAGGUAUUGACUUAAAAUUCAUUAGGCCCUCUGUUUUCCCAUCUGUAAAAUGAAGGCUUGAUGACUGUGAAUAUUGAGUUACUUGUAAGCACAGUAGUAUAUUCUUAUCCAUGGGGGUUAUGUUCCAAGACCCCCAGCGGAAACUGCAGACAGUACUGAAUCCUAUGUAUAACGUUUUCUUCCUAUACAGUUUAAUUUAUAAAUUAGGCACAGUAAGGGGAUAUCCGAAUUGCCAGCAUCAUUAUUCAUUCUCACGCUUUGGGGCCUUUAUUAAGUAAAAUAAGGGUUACUUGAACACAAGCACUGAAGUAGAGAGUCACAGACAGCUACUACGUGACUAACAGGCAGGAUACACUACACAAAAGGAUGAGUCAUUUUGGAGUAGAACAGCGAAAGGUUUCAUCACAAUACUCAAAGGGUGUGCAAUUUAAAACUUAAUGAGUUGUUUAUUUACAGAAUUUUCCCUUCAGUAUUUUCAGACUGCGGCUGACCAUGGGUAACUAAGACCAUGGAAAGUGAAACCUCAGAUAAGGGAAGAAAGGGAGGACUACUGCA